GGUCUUGGUUCUAGUCCAGUGAGAGAGUUGACGUCAGGGCCACAGGAGCCUCCACACCACACCCAACAGGUAUCAAGGGAGGGAGAGGCGGUGGGCGGUAGGGGAGGCGGAGUCCUGUGAGCCUGACUUCAAUGGAUUGCGGUGAGGCUCAAACAACCAACGAGACGGAGGUAAACACCGCCGCCACGUGCAGCUACAGCGUAUACUCCCAGCUUGCCCCAACCCUCAAUAGGCGGAUGGUAGGGUGUGAAGGCUCUAAGGACGAGGCCAGUUGGAGUUCCGUGUUGGCGGUGAUGUGUGAUGACUUGAUCAAUGUUCAUUUGCAUAUAUGGAUGACCAGACCCCUCUUUCUGUCUAGGCUCUAGAGGAAUGGUACCAGACUGCUAUACGACAGUCAGGACCGCAUACAACCUCCAACUUUGAGCAGCUCCGCACUGAUGUUACAGGUGCCAGGUGCCUUUCCACCCCUCAACUUUGCCACAGCCACUAUGACCUCUGCAAGAGAGGGUGGGCUUUCAUUGAUGGGUGGAUCAGCAUCCGCCACCUACAACCCAGCAACUGGAAGCUGCCCAUUUGGAGGGCACACAAUACCUCAAGUCGACCAGAGUAACCUAAGGGUGAAAGAAACGAAGCCUGAUUUCUCGCUAAAUUAGCCGAGGAACUCACAUUAGGCGCACCUAACACCACCACAGCCGAUCCAGGGUUCAGGACAUUUCCUAAGUAAAAGAAGAUGAGCCAGUUCCAUAUGGCACAUAUGUGAUCCUAUCACGGCUGCGAUAGUUCCUGCGAGUGGUCCGGGAGAGUUGAGAGGUUAGAGGAACCUGCCGACUCUUCACAACUCUGGUCCCCGCUGAGGUUGUUCUCCCUGCUGUUUCAUCUACUUCUUCUCUCACAGCUGAAGCAAAGGUCUAUGCCUGCCCUGAUGUGACAGGGGUCCCUGUCCCUGCCAGCUCUGGUGUGGCUGGUGCCUCUACCUGUGUCUGCCUUGGUGUGUCCUGGCAUGCUGAGUGUCCCUCCUCCCACCUCUACAAAUGUGUCAGCUGCUCUUGCCUCAG